rnacentral:rRNA from 1 species
GACGAACGCUGGCGGCGUGCCUAAUACAUGCAAGUCGAACGCGUCUACGUUAAUGAAAUCAAUGUGCUUGCACGGCGAUGGAUUUAACAUUAGACGAGUGGCGAACUGGUGAGUAACACGUGGGUAACCUGCCCUCAAGCAGGGGAUAACACUUGGAAACAGGUGCUAAUACCGUAUAACAACAAAAACCGCAUGGUUUUUGUUUGAAAGAUGGUUUCGGCUAUCACUUGAGGAUGGACCCGCGGUGCAUUAGCUAGUCGGUGGGGUAACGGCCUACCGAGGCGAUGAUGCAUAGCCGACCUGAGAGGGUGAUCGGCCACAUUGGGACUGAGACACGGCCCAAACUCCUACGGGAGGCAGCAGUAGGGAAUCUUCGGCAAUGGACGGAAGUCUGACCGAGCAACGCCGCGUGAGUGAAGAAGGUUUUCGGAUCGUAAAGCUCUGUUGUUAGAGAAGAACAAGUGUGAAAGUAACUAGUCACACCGUGACGGUAUCUAACCAGAAAGCCACGGCUAACUACGUGCCAGCCGCCGCCGUAAAAC